rnacentral:rRNA from 1 species
UUGUUGGAGAGUUUGAUCCUGGCUCAGGAUAAACGCUGGCGGCGUGCCUAAUGCAUGCAAGUCGCGCGUCGAAACCGGCUUCGGCCGGUGGAAAGCGGCGGACGGGUGAGUAACACGUAGGAACCUGCCCGGAAGUGGGGGACAACCCCGGGAAACCGGGGCUAAUACCGCAUACGGUCCACGGACCAAAGCCCUCGGGCGCUUCCGGAGGGGCCUGCGGCGGAUUAGCUGGUUGGUGGGGUAACGGCCUACCAAGGCGACGAUCCGUAGCUGGUCUGAGAGGACGGUCAGCCACACUGGGACUGAGAUACGGCCCAGACUCCUACGGGAGGCAGCAGCAAGGAAUUUUCCGCAAUGGGCGCAAGCCUGACGGAGCAACGCCGCGUGGGGGAAGAAGGCUUUCGAGUUGUAAACCCCUUUUGCGAGGGAAGAAGAUCUGACGGUACCUCGCGAAUAAGCCACGGCUAACUACGUGCCAGCAGCCGCGGUAAUACGUAGGUGGCAAGCGUUGUCCGGAUUCACUGGGCGUAAAGCGCGCGCAGGCGGGCUGAUAAGUCCCGGGUUAAAUUCCACGGCUCAACCGUGGGCAGCCCCGGGAUACUGUCAGUCUAGAGGCAUUCAGAGGAGAGUGGAAUUCCCGGUGUAGUGGUGGAAUGCGUAGAUAUCGGGAGGAACACCAGUGGCGAAAGCGACUCUCUGGGGAUGUCCUGACGCUGAGGCGCGAAAGCGUGGGGAGCGAACCGGAUUAGAUACCCGGGUAGUCCACGCCGUAAACGAUGAGUACUAGCUGUCGGGGGUGUCGACUCCUUCGGUAGCGCAGCUAACGCGUUAAGUACUCCGCCUGGGGACUACGGCCGCAAGGCUAAAACUCAAAGGAAUUGACGGGGGCCCGCACAAGCAGCGGAGCGUGCGGUUUAAUUCGAAGCUACGCGAAGAACCUUACCAGGGCUUGACAUGCUA